GACGAACGCUGGCGGCGUACUUAACACAUGCAAGUCGAGCGAGUUGAUUCCCUUCGGGGAUGAAGCUAGCGGCGGACGGGUGAGUAACACGUGGGCAACCUGCCUUAUAGAGGGGGAUAGCCUUCCGAAAGGAAGAUUAAUACCGCAUAACAUCAGACUAUCGCGUGGUAGACUGAUCAAAGGAGCAAUCCGCUAUAAGAUGGGCCCGCGUCGCAUUAGCUAGUUGGUGAGGUAAUGGCUCACCAAGGCGACGAGGCGUAGCCGACCUGAGAGGGUGAUCGGCCACAUUGGGACUGAGACACGGCCCAGACUCCUACGGGAGGCAGCAGUGGGGAAUAUUGCACAAUGGGGGAAACCCUGAUGCAGCAACGCCGCGUGAGUGAUGAAGGCCUUCGGGUUGUAAAGCUCUUUGAUCAGGGACGAUAAUGACGGUACCUGAAGAACAAGCCACGGCUAACUACGUGCCAGCAGCCGCGGUAAGAC
rnacentral:rRNA from 1 species